rnacentral:rRNA from 1 species
AUGAACGCUAGCGACAGGCUUAACACAUGCAAGUCGAGGGGCAUCAUGAGGUAGCAAUACCUUGAUGGCGACCGGCGCACGGGUGAGUAACGCGUAUGCAACCUGCCCGAUACCGGGGUAUAGCCCAUGGAAACGUGGAUUAACACCCCAUAGUACUUUUAUCCUGCAUGGGAUGUGAGUUAAAUGUUCAAGGUAUCGGAUGGGCAUGCGUCCUAUUAGUUAGUUGGCGGGGUAACAGCCCACCAAGACGAUGAUAGGUAGGGGUUCUGAGAGGAAGGUCCCCCACAUUGGAACUGAGACACGGUCCAAACUCCUACGGGAGGCAGCAGUGAGGAAUAUUGGUCAAUGGACGUAAGUCUGAACCAGCCAAGUCGCGUGAGGGAAGACUGCCCUAUGGGUUGUAAACCUCUUUUAUAAGGGAAGAAUAAGUUCUACGUGUAGAAUGAUGCCUGUACCUUAUGAAUAAGCAUCGGCUAACUCCGUGCCAGCAGCCGCGGUAAUACGGAGGAUGCGAGCGUUAUCCGGAUUUAUUGGGUUUAAAGGGUGCGUAGGCGGUUUAUUAAGUUAGUGGUUAAAUAUUUGAGCUAAACUCAAUUGUGCCAUUAAUACUGGUAAACUGGAGUACAGACGAGGUAGGCGGAAUAAGUUAAGUAGCGGUGAAAUGCAUAGAUAUAACUUAGAACUCCGAUAGCGAAGGCAGCUUACCAGACUGUAACUGACGCUGAUGCACGAGAGCGUGGGUAGCGAACAGGAUUAGAUACCCUGGUAGUCCACGCCGUAAACGAUGCUCACUGGUUCUGUGCGAUAUAUUGUACGGGAUUAAGCGAAAGUAUUAAGUGAGCCACCUGGGGAGUACGUCGGCAACGAUGAAACUCAAAGGAAUUGACGGGGGCCCGCACAAGCAGUGGAGUAUGUGGUUUAAUUCGAAGCAACGCGAAGAACCUUACCAGGUCUUGACAUCCUCUGACAAUCCUAGAGAUAGGACGUCCCCUUCGGGGGCAGAGUGACAGGUGGUGCAUGGUUGUCGUCAGCUCGUGUCGUGAGAUGUUGGGUUAAGUCCCGCAACGAGCGCAACCCUUACCGUUAGUUGCUAGCAUGUAAUGAUGAGCACUCUAACGGGACUGCCACCGUAAGGUGAGAGGAAGGCGGGGAUGACGUCAAAUCAGCACGGCCCUUACACCCAGGGCUACACACGUGUUACAAUGGCCGGUACAGAGGGCCGCUACCAGGUGACUGGAUGCCAAUCUCAAAAGCCGGUCGUAGUUCGGAUUGGAGUCUGUAACCCGACUCCAUGAAGUUGGAUUCGCUAGUAAUCGCGCAUCAGCCAUGGCGCGGUGAAUACGUUCCCGGGCCUUGUACACACCGCCCGUCAAGCCAUGGAAGCCGGGGGUGCCUGAAGUCCGUAACCGCGAGGAUCGGCCUAGGGCAAAACUGGUAACUGGGGCU